AUUGAACGCUGGCGGAAUGCUUUACACAUGCAAGUCGAACGAUGAACCUUAGCUUGCUAUGGGGAUUAGUGGCGAACGGGUGAGUAAUAUAUCGGAACGUGCCUUGUAAUGGGGGAUAACUAGUCGAAAGAUUAGCUAAUACCGCAUACGCCCUGACGGGGAAAGUAGGGGAUCUUCGGACCUUACGUUAUAAGAGCGGCCGAUAUCUGAUUAGCUAGUUUGUUGGGUAAUGGCCUACCAAGGCGACGAUAAGUAGCUGGUCUUAGAGGACGACCAGCCACACUAGAACUGAGACACGGUCCAGACUCCUACGGGAGGCAGCAGUGGGGAAUUUUGGACAAUGGGCGCAAGCCUGAUCCAACCAUGCCGCGUGAGUGAAGAAGGCCUUCGGGUUGUAAAGCUCUUUCGCAAGGGAAGAAAACUUACCAUCGAAUAAAUGGUGAGGCUGACGGUACCUUGAUAAGAAGCACCGGCUAACUACGUG
rnacentral:rRNA from 1 species